rnacentral:rRNA from 1 species
UACGUAGGCAGCGAGCGUUGUUCGGAAUUACUGGGCGUAAAGAGUGUGUAGGCGGUGUUCCAAGUCUGGUGUGAAAUCUCCCGGCUCAACUGGGGGGUGCGCCGGAAACUGGAAUGCUAGAGGGUGGGAGAGGUAAGCGGAAUUCCUGGUGUAGCGGUGAAAUGCGUAGAUAUCAGGAGGAACACCUGUGGUGUAGACAGCUUACUGGACCACUUCUGACGCUGAGACACGAAAGCGUGGGUAGCAAACAGG